UCGAACGCAGUAGCAAUACUGAGUGGCAAACGGGUGAGUAUAAUGUGGGAAUCUGCCUUUUGGUUUGGAAUAACACGGGGAAACUUGUGCUAAUACCGAAUAAGCCUUUACAGGGAAAGUUUUAAUGCCAAAAGAUGAGCCCGCACUUGAUUAGCUAGUUGGUAAGGUAAAAGCUUACCAAGGCAACGAUCAAUAGCUGUUCUUAGAGGAAGACCAGCCACAUUGGGACUGAGACACGGCCCAGACUCCUACGGGAGGCAGCAGUGGGGAAUCUUGCACAAUGGGGGAAACCCUGAUGCAGCGAUGCCGCGUGAGUGAAGAAGGCCCUUGGGUUGUAAAACUCUUUCGUCGGGGAAGAAAAUGACUGUACCCGAAUAAGAAGGUCCGGCUAACUUCGUGCCAGCAGCCGCGGUAAUACGAAGGGACCUAGCGUAGUUCGGAAUUACUGGGCUUAAAGAGCUCGUAGGUGGUUAAAAAAGUUGAUGGUGAAAUCCCAAGGCUCAACCUUGGAACUGCCAUCAAAACUUUUUAGCUAGAGUGUGAUAGAGGUAAGUGGAAUUUCUAGUGUAGAGGUGAAAUUCGUAGAUAUUAGAAAGAACACCGAAAGCGAAGGCAACUUACUGGGUCACUACUGACACUGAGGAGCGAAAGCAUGGGUAGCGAAGAGGAUUAGAUACCCUCGUAGUCCAUGCCGUAAACGAUGUGUGCUAGACGUUGGAAAUAUAUUUUUCAGUGUGGCAGCGAAAGCAUUAAGCACACCGCCUGGGGAGUACGACCGCAAGGUUAAAACUCAAAUGAAUUGACGGGGACCCGCACAAGCAGUGGAGCAUGUGGUUUAAUUCGAAGAUACGCGCAGAACCUUACCAACGCUUGACAUGUUCGUCGCGAGACUAAGAGAUUAGUUUCUUCAGUUCGGCUGGACGAAAACACAGGUGCUGCAUGGCUGUCGUCAGCUCGUG
rnacentral:rRNA from 1 species